rnacentral:rRNA from 1 species
ACUGCCAUUGAUANUGCGGGUCUUGAGUAAAUUUGAAGUGGCUGGAAUAAGUAGUGUAGCGGUGAAAUGCAUAGAUAUUACUUAGAACACCAAUUGCGAAGGCAGGUCACUAAGAUUUAACUGACGCUGAUGGACGAAAGCGUGGGUAGCGAACAGGAUUAGAUACCCUGGUAGUCCACGCCGUAAACGAUGCUAACUCGUUUUUGGAUUUUCGGAUUCAGAGACCAAGCGAAAGUGAUAAGUUAGCCACCUGGGGAGUACGUCCGCAAGGAUGAAACUCAAAGGAAUUGACGGGGGCCCGCACAAGCGGUGGAUUAUGUGGUUUAAUUCGAUGAUACGCGAGGAACCUUACCAAGACUUAAAUGGGAAAUGACAGGUUUAGAAAUAGACCCUUCUUCGGACAUUUUUCAAGGUGCUGCAUGGUUGUCGUCAGCUCGUGCCGUGAGGUGUUAGGUUAAGUCCUGCAACGAGCGCAACCCCUGUCACUAGUUGCUAACAUUCAGUUGAGGACUCUAGUGAGACUGCCUACGCAAGUAGAGAGGAAGGUGGGGAUGACGUCAAAUCAUCACGGCCCUUACGUCUUGGGCCACACACGUAAUACAAUGGCCGGUACAGAGGGCAGCUACACAGCGAUGUGAUGCAAAUCUCGAAAGCCGGUCUCAGUUCGGAUUGGAGUCUGCAACUCGACUCUAUGAAGCUGGAAUCGCUAGUAAUCGCGCAUCAGCCAUGGCGCGGUGAAUACGUUCCCGGGCCUUGUACACACCNCCNGNCAAGCCAUGGAAGUUUGGGGUACCNGNUNG